rnacentral:rRNA from 1 species
CACGUAGGGCGCAAGCGUUGUCCGGAAUUCUUGGGCGUAAAGAGCUCGUAGGUGGUUUGUUACGUCUGCUGUGAAAACCUAGGGCUUAACCCUGGGCUUGCAGUGGAUACGGGCAGACUAGAGGUAGGUAGGGGAGAAUGGAAUUCCUGGUGUAGCGGUGAAAUGCGCAGAUAUCAGGAGGAACACCGGUGGCGAAGGCGGUUCUCUGGGCCUUACCUGACACUGAGGAGCGAAAGCGUGGGGAGCGAACAGG